AGUGAACGCUGGCGGUAGGCCUAACACAUGCAAGUCGAACGGCAGCACAGUAAGAGCUUGCUCUUACGGGUGGCGAGUGGCGGACGGGUGAGGAAUACAUCGGAAUCUACUUUUUCGUGGGGGAUAACGUAGGGAAACUUACGCUAAUACCGCAUACGACCUACGGGUGAAAGCAGGGGAUCUUCGGACCUUGCGCGAUUGAAUGAGCCGAUGUCGGAUUAGCUAGUUGGCGGGGUAAAGGCCCACCAAGGCGACGAUCCGUAGCUGGUCUGAGAGGAUGAUCAGCCACACUGGAACUGAGACACGGUCCAGACUCCUACGGGAGGCAGCAGUGGGGAAUAUGGGACAAUGGGCGCAAGCCUGAUCCAGCCAUACCGCGUGGGUGAAGAAGGCCUUCGGGUUGGAAAGCCCUUUUGUUGGGAAAGAAAAGCAGCAGGUUAAUACCCCGCUGUUCUGACGGUACCCAAAGAAUAAGCACCGGCUAACUUCG
rnacentral:rRNA from 1 species